AGAGCAGAGAGAAAACGAAUAUCAUCCUGGAGUAUGGUUUAACAAUACUGUUAAUUGUUGGUGCAAUAUCUACAAAGAUGAAAAAAUAUAUCAAAUUCGAUGGAACUUCCUUAAAGUUGUAAUGAUUUAUUGUCCAGAAUUUGCUGAAGUAGUUUUAAACAACAGUGAUCUUGUCGAUAAGAAUUGGCCCUAUAACUUUUUGCAUGGAUGGUUAGGAACUGGAUUGCUGACGAG